GGCUGCGUGGCUCAGUGGAAAGAGCCCGGGCUUGGGAGUCAGAGGUCAUGGGUUCGAAUCCCGGCUCUGCCC
rnacentral:tRNA from 1 species